UAGAGUUUGAUCCUGGCUCAGGAUGAACGUUGGCGGCGUGCUUAACACAUGCAAGUCGAACGAGAAGGCUUUCUUCGGAGAGUUGGACAGUGGCGGACGGGUGAGUAACACGUUGGUGACCUGUCCCGAAGAGGGGGACAACCGUGGGAAACGACGGCUAAAACCCCAGAUGUCGAGAGGCUUAGACACUUCUGACUAAAAAUCCGCGGCGCUUUGGGAGGGGCCAGCGGGCUAUCAGCUAGUUGGUGAGGUAAAGGCUUACCAAGGCGAAGACGGCUAGGGGGCGUGAGAGCGCGACCCCCCACAAUGGGACUGAGACACGGCCCAUACUCCUACGGGAGGCAGCAGUGAGGAAUAUUGCGCAAUGGGGGAAACCCUGACGCAGCAAUGCCGCGUGGGUGAUGAAGGCCUUCGGGUCGUAAAGCCCUUUUCUGAGGGAAGAGAGAGGACGGUACCUCAGGAAUAAGUCCCGGCUAACUACGUGCCAGCAGCCGCGGUAAAACGUAGGGGGCAAGCGUUAUCCGGAUUUACUGGGCGUAAAGCGCAUGCAGGCGGUUUGGUAGGUUGGACGUGAAAGCUCUUGGCUCAACUGAGAGAGGUCGUUCAAUACCGCCAGGCUUGAGGGCGGAAGAGGGGAGUGGAAUUCCUGGUGUAGUGGUGGAAUGCGUAGAGAUCAGGAGGAAUGCCAGUGGCGAAAGCGGCUCUCUGGGCCAUAACUGACGCUGAGGUGCGAAAGCGUGGGUAGCGAACGGGAUUAGAUACCCCGGUAGUCCACGCCGUAAACGAUGGAUACUAGGUGUAGGGUGUGGUAAACCCCUCUGUGCCGAAGCAAACGCGAUAAGUAUCCCGCCUGGGGAGUACGGCCGCAAGGCUAAAACUCAAAGGAAUUGACGGGGGCCCGCACAAGCAGCGGAGCGUGUGGUUUAAUUCGAAGAUACGCGAAGAACCUUACCUGGGUUUGACAUACACGUAGUAGUGAAGCGAAAGCGGAACGACCCUUCGGGGAGCGUGCACAGGUGCUGCAUGGCUGUCGUCAGCUCGUGUCGUGAGAUGUUGGGUUAAGUCCCGCAACGAGCGCAACCCUCGCUGUUAGUUACAUGUGUCUAACGGGACUGCCGGAAUAAAACCGGAGGAAGGUGGGGAUGACGUCAAGUCAGCAUGGCCUUUAUGUCCAGGGCUACACACACGCUACAAUGGUCGGUACAAUGGGCUGCCACACCGCGAGGUGGAGCCAAUCCUAAAAGCCGGCCUCAGUUCAGAUUGCAGUCUGCAACUCGACUGCAUGAAGGUGGAGUUGCUAGUAACCGCGCGUCAGCAAUAGUGCGGUGAAUACGUUCCCGGGCCUUGUACACACCGCCCGUCACGUCAUGGGAGCCGGUAACACCUAAAGUCGGUGGGUCAACCGUAAGGAGACAACUGCCUAAGGUGGGACUGGUAACUGGGACGAAGUCGUAACAAGCUAACCAAGGGCGAA
rnacentral:rRNA from 1 species